rnacentral:rRNA from 1 species
ACGCUAGCGGGAGGCCUAACACAUGCAAGCCGAGCGGUAUUUGUUCUUCGGAACAGAGAGAGCGGCGUACGGGUGCGGAACACGUGUGCAACCUGCCUUUAUCUGGGGGAUAGCCUUUCGAAAGGAAGAUUAAUACCCCAUAAUAUAUUGAAUGGCAUCAUUCGAUAUUGAAAACUCCGGUGGAUAGAGAUGGGCACGCGCAAGAUUAGAUAGUUGGUGAGGUAACGGCUCACCAAGUCAAUGAUCUUUAGGGGGCCUGAGAGGGUGAUCCCCCACACUGGUACUGAGACACGGACCAGACUCCUACGGGAGGCAGCAGUGAGGAAUAUUGGACAAUGGGUGCAAGCCUGAUCCAGCCAUCCCGCGUGAAGGACUAAGGCCCUAUGGGUUGUAAACUUCCUUUAUACUGGGAUAAACCUACUUACGUGUAAGUAGCUGAAGGUACAGUAUGAAUAAGCACCGGCUAACCCCGUGCCAGCAGCCGCGGUAAUACGGAGGGUGCAAGCGUUAUCCGGAUUUAUUGGGUUUAAAGGGUCCGUAGGCGGAUUCGUAAGUCAGUGGUGAAAUCUCAUAGCUUAACUAUGAAACUGCCAUUGAUACUGCGAGU